rnacentral:rRNA from 1 species
GGGUCAGCGACUUAUAUUCUGUAGCAAGGUUAACCGUAUAGGGGAGCCGCAGGGAAACCGAGUCUUAACUGGGCGUUAAGUUGCAGGGUAUAGACCCGAAACCCGGUGAUCUAGCCAUGGGCAGGUUGAAGGUUGGGUAACACUAACUGGAGGACCGAACCGACUAAUGUUGAAAAAUUAGCGGAUGACUUGUGGCUGGGGGUGAAAGGCCAAUCAAACCGGGAGAUAGCUGGUUCUCCCCGAAAGCUAUUUAGGUAGCGCCUCGUGAACUCAUCUUCGGGGGUAGAGCACUGUUUCGGCUAGGGGGUCAUCCCGACUUACCAACCCGAUGCAAACUACGAAUACCGAAGAAUGUUAUCACGGGAGACACACGGCGGGUGCUAACGUCCGUCGUGAAGAGGGAAACAACCCAGACCGCCAGCUAAGGUCCCAAAGUCAUGGUUAAGUGGGAAACGAUGUGGGAAGGCACAGACAGCCAGGAUGUUGGCUUAGAAGCAGCCAUCAUUUAAAGAAAGCGUAAUAGCUCACUGGUCGAGUCGGCCUGCGCGGAAGAUGUAACGGGGCUAAACCAUGCACCGAAGCUGCGGCAGCGACACUAUGUGUUGUUGGGUAGGGGAGCGUUCUGUAAGCCUGCGAAGGUGUGCUGUGAGGCAUGCUGGAGGUAUCAGAAGUGCGAAUGCUGACAUAAGUAACGAUAAAGCGGGUGAAAAGCCCGCUCGCCGGAAGACCAAGGGUUCCUGUCCAACGUUAAUCGGGGCAGGGUGAGUCGACCCCUAAGGCGAGGCCGAAAGGCGUAGUCGAUGGGAAACAGGUUAAUAUUCCUGUACUUGGUGUUACUGCGAAGGGGGGACGGAGAAGGCUAUGUUAGCCGGGCGACGGUUGUCCCGGUUUAAGCAUGUAGGCUGGUUGUCCAGGCAAAUCCGGAUAAUCAAGGCUGAGGUGUGAUGACGAGGCACUACGGUGCUGAAGUAACAAAUGCCCUGCUUCCAGGAAAAGCCUCUAAGCAUCAGGUAACAUCAAAUCGUACCCCAAACCGACACAGGUGGUCAGGUAGAGAAUACCAAGGCGCUUGAGAGAACUCGGGUGAAGGAACUAGGCAAAAUGGUGCCGUAACUUCGGGAGAAGGCACGCUGGUGUGUAGGUGAAGCCCCUGCGGGUGGAGCUGAGACCAGUCGAAGAUACCAGCUGGCUGCAACUGUUUAUUAAAAACACAGCACUGUGCAAACACGAAAGUGGACGUAUACGGUGUGACGCCUGCCCGGUGCCGGAAGGUUAAUUGAUGGGGUUAUCCGUAAGGAGAAGCUCUUGAUCGAAGCCCCGGUAAACGGCGGCCGUAACUAUAACGGUCCUAAGGUAGCGAAAUUCCUUGUCGGGUAAGUUCCGACCUGCACGAAUGGCGUAAUGAUGGCCAGGCUGUCUCCACCCGAGACUCAGUGAAAUUGAACUCGCUGUGAAGAUGCAGUGUACCCGCGGCAAGACGGAAAGACCCCGUGAACCUUUACUAUAGCUUGACACUGAACAUUGAGCCUUGAUGUGUAGGAUAGGUGGGAGGCUUUGAAGCGUGGACGCCAGUCUGCGUGGAGCCAACCUUGAAAUACCACCCUUUAAUGUUUGAUGUUCUAACGUUGGCCCCUGACCGGGGUUGCGGACAGUGUCUGGUGGGUAGUUUGACUGGGGCGGUCUCCUCCCAAAGCGUAACGGAGGAGCACGAAGGUUAGCUAAUCCUGGUCGGACAUCAGGAGGUUAGUGCAAUGGCAUAAGCUAGCUUGACUGCGAGCGUGACGGCGCGAGCAGGUGCGAAAGCAGGUCAUAGUGAUCCGGUGGUUCUGAAUGGAAGGGCCAUCGCUCAACGGAUAAAAGGUACUCCGGGGAUAACAGGCUGAUACCGCCCAAGAGUUCAUAUCGACGGCGGUGUUUGGCACCUCGAUGUCGGCUCAUCACAUCCUGGGGCUGAAGUAGGUCCCAAGGGUAUGGCUGUUCGCCAUUUAAAGUGGUACGCGAGCUGGGUUUAGAACGUCGUGAGACAGUUCGGUCCCUAUCUGCCGUGGGCGCUGGAGAAUUGAGGGGGGCUGCUCCUAGUACGAGAGGACCGGAGUGGACGCAUCACUGGUGUUCGGGUUGUCAUGCCAAUGGCACUGCCCGGUAGCUAAAUGCGGAAGAGAUAAGUGCUGAAAGCAUCUAAGCACGAAACUUGCCCCG